rnacentral:rRNA from 1 species
CAUGUAGGCGGUCUGCUAAGUUCGGAGUGACAGUCACCAGCUUAACUGGUGAAGUGCUUCGAAAACUGGCGGACUUGAGAGCGAAAGAGGGACAUGGAAUUCCGGGUGGAGCAGUGAAAUGCGUAGAGAUCCGGAGGAACACCAAAGGCGAAGGCAGUGUCCUGGCUCGUUUCUGACGCUGAGAUGCGAAAGCCAGGGGAGCGAACGGGAUUAGAUACCCCGGUAGUCCUGGCCGUAAACGAUGACCACCAGGCGUGGGAGGGAUCGACCCCUUCCGUGCCGUAGUCAACACAUUAAGUGGUCCGCCUGGGGAUACGGUCGCAAGACUAAA